rnacentral:piRNA from 1 species
UACCUGGCAAGGUGGUUUUGGAAGUUUCCAC